rnacentral:misc_RNA from 1 species
ACCGUCUCUCGAUUAACUACGAUCUUAUCAGGCCCAUGAAUCUUAUAAUACGAUAACACACCAUCCUGCAAAACGAACCAUCUCGGCCUCCAGCCUUUCCCGUAAUUCACCCACUUAUACAGAAUGCCCGAUAUUCCAUUCCCAACUAUAUCAUUUAUCCUGACAUCAACCUGCUGCUCUCGCGGCAACGACACCGUAUUAACAGCCAAAGCAGCCGCCAAGACUCUCUGGAGUAUUGCCGUUAUUACAAUCGAUGCCGUUGUGGUGGUGGUUGGGAUGGUUCAAUAAAUGAGCCUGGUGGUUGUUAUUGGCAGAGAGGGAUCGGGUAAUCGGGUCGGAUCUAGACGUGAUUGCCAUGGGUAAGGAAUGGGCCGAGGAAUGGUCGGAGACGGUGGAAAUACAACAAAGAUGAUGCAUAGGAGAGGGAAAUUCAGAAUGAACAGAGAAACAGAUCCGAGCAGAUCAUAGUGAGAAGUUUUUUCAUGUUUUGUUGAGAGAGAAAAGAAACGUAUACCUGAGAAAAAGCAAUAUAAAACGGUUACAGAGAAAUUGCGUGAAAUAGA